rnacentral:rRNA from 1 species
UACGGAGGAUGCGAGCGUUAUCCGGAUUUAUUGGGUUUAAAGGGUGCGUAGGCGGGCUUUUAAGUCAGCGGUAAAAAUUCGGGGCUCAACCCCGUCCGGCCGUUGAAACUGGGGGUCUUGAGUGGGCGAGAAGAAGGCGGAAUGCGUGGUGUAGCGGUGAAAUGCAUAGAUAUCACGCAGAACCCCGAUUGCGAAGGCAGCCUUCCGGCGCCCUACUGACGCUGAGGCACGAAAGUUCGGGGAUCGAACAGG